rnacentral:lncRNA from 1 species
CUCUUUGGACUUUAACUGACAAUGUGAAUGAUUUGGGGAUGUGGGGAAGAGGAUUCCUGAUAUGUCUGUAUAAAGCAGAGCAUAGGAACAGGGGACUAUAGCGAGAGCUAAAAGAGCUUUAAGAGACCACAUAGUCCAAACAGUCUAUUUUACAAAUGAGGGAAUUAAGUUCCAGGGAUACAUGACUUAUUCAAGGUCACAGAUGUGGGAUUUGAACUCAAGACUUCAGACUCUGAUGCCAAAUGCUCUCUAUACCAUUCUAGUGUCUUCAAACAAGAAAGAAAUGAUGUUAGUCCUGAAUGCACAGAAGAAAUUAGGGGAUGAGAUGAAUGGUCCUAAACUAUGUAAAAACCAAAGGCAGAUCCUUGAUGGCAGACCCCAGACAAAGCUACAACCUUGGUACUCCUGCACUCUGGUGCUGUCUGAUGUCCCAAAUGGCAUUUUUCUUUGCCUAGAUUAAAGACUCUUAUUGUUGCCACUUUGGUCAUCCUCUUUAUUUCAGGUUGACAAGGGAAUUAAUAGAGAAAACAGAAACUAUUCCACAAGCAAUAUUCAACAAAAGACUGCAUCUUUACCAUCUCAUUAAAAAACCAAAAGAUCUAACAUUCUUCAUUUAUUGUUUAUUGAUUAUGAAAAGUAUUUGAUUCAAAUGAAUAAAAUGCUACCUUAUAAGCUCUUUUACCGCA